UACGUAGGGUGCAAGCGUUGUUCGGAAUUACUGGGCGUAAAGGGCUCGUAGGCGGCCAACUAAGUCAGACGUGAAAUCCCUCAGCUUAACUGGGGAACUGCGUCUGAUACUGGAUGGCUUGGAUUCGGGAGAGGAAUGCGGAAUUCCAGGUGUAGCGGUGAAAUGCGUAGAUAUCAGGAGGAACACCGGUGGCGAAGGCGGUUCUCUGGGCCUUACCUGACGCUGAGGAGCGAAAGCAUGGGGAGCAAACAGG
rnacentral:rRNA from 1 species